GGGCCUACGGGGGGCAGCAGUGAGGAAUAUUGGUCAAUGGCCGAGAGGCUGAACCAGCCAAGUCGCGUGAGGGAUGACGGCCCUACGGGUUGUAAACCUCUUUUGUCGGGGAGCAAAGGCGCCCACGGGUGGGCGGAUGAGUGUACCCGAAGAAAAAGCAUCGGCUAACUCCGUGCCAGCAGCCGCGGUAAUACGGAGGAUCCGAGCGUUAUCCGGAUUUAUUGGGUUUAAAGGGAGCGUAGGCGGAUUAUUAAGUCAGUUGUGAAAGUUUGCGGCUCAACCGUAAAAUUGCAGUUGAUACUGGU
rnacentral:rRNA from 1 species